rnacentral:rRNA from 1 species
CGACGACUGGCGCACGGGUGAGUAACGCGUAUCCAACCUUCCCAUGACCACGGGAUAACCCGUUGAAAGACGGACUAAUACCGUAUGACGUCGUUUGCUGACAUCAAAUAACGAUUAAAGGUUUAGCGGUGAUGGAUGGGGAUGCGUCUGAUUAGCUUGUUGGCGGGGUAACGGGCCCACCAAGGCGACGAUCAGUAGGGGUUCUGAGAGGAAGGUCCCCCACAUUGGAACUGAGACACGGUCCAG